UGUCCCAUGGCUUAGUUGGUUACAGCAUCCAACUAUUAUACCAAAUUCAAGUUGCAUGUCACAUCAGAAGAUCGAGAGUUUGAGUCUCUCUGGGACAG